rnacentral:lncRNA from 1 species
UUUCUUCUAUUUACAUCUUCUAAGUUAAUCUGACCUAUUUUUAGUCAAAAAUCCAAUCAUACUUGCAUUUUUUUCACCGAUCUUUGUCUCUAGGCUAGAGGUGGUUUGAUUCUUUAAUUAUUUUUUUUGUUUUUUUUUGUUUUGUUUUAUUUUGUUUUUGGUAAGGGAUACUGUAUCAUAGUAUACAACUCUGACUAUCCUAGAACUCAUUGCCUAUACCAAGCUGGCAGCAAGAACAAUGAGAUAUUUGUGCCUCUGUAUCCUCAGUGCUGUAAUUAAAUGCAUUCACGAAUCUAAGCAUCUUGUUCAUUACUUUUGUAAUGAGAAUAUUUCAUACAAUAUCUCUGUGUGCUUACUACUAUUGAUCUUUUUGCUUGUCUCUUUAUGUGCAUUCAUUGGCAUUUGUCCUCCAAGACUUUCUCCAACUCAAAGGGUGAAGAAAUGACAGAUGAGAACUCAUUAUUUGGUUUCCUUCAAAAAUGACUUGGUGAUCAUGAAUACAUUAUAUCUUCUGUGUCAGGAAACAAGUGGGCGAACUCCCAACAUUAUUUGAAAAUAUUGUCAAUGAAAUGUACAUGUCUAAUAUUUCAUUCUCAUGCUACUUUUGUACAUAUAUGUGGGAUGUUUUAGAACGCAGUGACGUACAAUGAUGUACUGGUGAGCUUUACUCAGGAAGAAUGGGCUUUGCUGGAUCCUUCCCAGAAGAGUCUCUACAAAGAUGUGAUGCUCGAAACCUAUAGGAACCUCACUGCCAUAGGUAAGAUUGUGAAUGUUGUUUCUCCUUUUGAAAGAGGGGGCAACUGUAUUUUAGUUGUGUGGUAGUAUGUGUGGUUGCUUGUUUUUCUUUUUGUUAUUGAUGUACAUCUACACUUUUAUUUGAGAAGGAGGAAGAAUGAUGAGAAUAAAUUAGCCUUGUUUGUGAGGAUCACUGAAGAUAGUUUCUUAAAUUUUGCCUGAAUUCCACAAAUAUAUCAUGUAUUUCCUUGUACUGUCUUCUAGGCUAUAACUGGGAAGAAGAUAAUAUUGAAGAAGAUUGUGAAAAUUCUGGAAGACCCACUAGGUAAUUUUCUUGUGCAUGCUGAUCCAAAUAUGCCUUUGAAGAAAUCUUAGUUUGUUCUUGAAGUUUUAGUUAAAAUCAGGGGUGUAAAUAAGCACAGUUUUAUGGAUACUGAUUAUUAAAUACUCACAAAAAGGACAACUCAGUGUCAGGUAUUUGAUUGUGUUUGCAAGGCUUUCCUUUAAGACAGAAAACACGGAAACACUGCCUUAACAGACAGUACCUUAUCAAGCACAGCCCCAUUCAUUCUAUGGUGUAGAUCUGCCAGUCUGUUUAGUCUCAUGCCACUCAGCUAGUAUAAAAACUGUACACACUGAGUAUGAAAUCAGUUUAUAUCCAAAACUGUCU